rnacentral:rRNA from 1 species
GAUGAACGCUGGCGGCGUGCCUAAUACAUGCAAGUCGAGCGAACGGACGAGAAUCUUGCUUUUCUGAUGUUAGCGGCGGACGGGUGAGUAACACGUGGAUAACCUACCUAUAAGACUGGGAUAACUUCGGGAAACCGGAGCUAAUACCGGAUAAUAUUUUGAACCGCAUGGUUCAAAAGUGAAAGACGGUCUUGCUGUCACUUAUAGAUGGAUCCGCGCUGCAUUAGCUAGUUGGUAAGGUAACGGCUUACCAAGGCAACGAUGCAUAGCCGACCUGAGAGGGUGAUCGGCCACACGGGAACUGAGACACGGUCCAGACUCCUACGGGAGGCAGCAGUAGGGACUCUUCCGCAAUGGGCGAAAGCCUGACGGAGCAACGCCGCGUGAGUGAUGAAGGUCUUCGGAUCGUAAAACUCUGUUAUUAGGGAAGAACAUAUGUGUAAGUAACUGUGCACAUCUUGACGGUACCUAAUCAGAAAGCCACGGCUAACUACGUG